ensembl:ncRNA K10F12.8 ncRNA
CCCAUUGUUCGCAGGUUUUAUAGCGAUACGACACUGCCAUAUAUAUUUCACUGGGGAUAUCGGUUCGAAUCGCUGUUGUUUAGGGAUGUUACCAGUUUUGCAUGUUUUCCGUUUUUUUUUUCGAGCAAAUUUUAUGUCAAUUUCCGUUUCUUCAGACUUUUUUGCCUUUUUGUUCAAAUUUUGCACCCGAACCAAUCUUACCUACAAAAGUGCGAAAUUCAAAAAAAUCUGACAUCUCAAAUUGUCUGUCCUUUUAACCACGCGUCCAGCUAUUCUAAACAUAAGUUUUCGGGUGAAGGAAUUUUGGCCAGAUUCUAUUUCUUUAACAAUACUUUUUUCAGGAGGUUUGUAACCGGAAUUCCGUAUUCAAGGAAAGGUCUUAUAAAUGUUUUAAAUAGAAAUACCAUUAACUUUAUGUUGUUUGAAUGAAACGAUUUGAAAACAUUAUAACUGGAAUAUUUUGCCUUAUUUAUCGAUUUUUGCCAGUGUUCUUCAAAAUUCAAUUUAUUAUUAAUGAAGAAUCCGAGGUUCCUCACUAA